rnacentral:misc_RNA from 1 species
CUUUCCUUUGGGGCGCUCCCAUUAAGUUCUCUGGGUCCAGGCCUACAGGACGACUUGGCAUUGGCUGAUAUCCUCCAGCUCCAAUUUGCUGACAAGGCAUUUUGUGAUUUGAAAAAACCACGUCAUCCCAUUGCCGAGGAACCAAACCUUUCAGGAGCGAAAAAAUGUUGGUCGGUUCGCUUGCUCCUGUUAGAACUUCCGCCACGGCAGUAGCAGCUUCGGCCUUCCUUAGUUCGUUUUUAUCUUCCUCUCCUUCUUCGCCGACUCCAAUAACAACGAUUCUCAGGUCAAUUUUCGUUCCUAACUGUCUUUCCUCAAUGUCCGUUUGCUUACCCAGAGAAUACAUGAAAACGAAAAUAAAAUAAUAAUAAUAAAAGAUGCGAAUCCUGUAGUGUACCAGUCUGGAGUUUAGAGGGUGGAUCUCAAAAUUUUCUGUUAAUUUUGCGUUUUGAGUAUAUUUGCUCAGGUGAAAUUCAGCGGAAACUGUGUUGCAGAGAACUGUAAUUGUAAGCCUUUGAGAUUAUAAUCACAAUUUCACCGUAAAAAAUUACUCUUUUUUUUGUACGUAUUCAUAUACAAUUGUGAUUUUCUUUCGUUUAUUGGCCAAUGCUGGAAAUUUAGCGGUUGGGAGUAGAUGCGAAAGGUACUGUGGAGUAGGGUGGACUGGCUGUCCUGGGGAAAAAUCAUGUGACGAUCUGGACGCCUGUUGCAACGACGAAUGCGUUGUAAAGAAAGGCAUGAAAAUAAUCAAAGUCACAUAGAUAAUUUGUGCGAUUGAUUUUUUGAGGAUUUUAUUGCCAUUUGUGGACUUUUGCCUUAGUGAUCCUUAUAAUCAAGGAUCUUUUUGUACAACUGGUUCUAUUCAGGACUCAAACUCGAGACUCACAACUCGGGAUGCACUUGAAAAAACAAUUGUCACUUUGCCUGUUCUUUAAUAUAUUAUUAUGUUUUUUUAUUCAUUUGGUAGCUAAAAAUUAAUGUUUGUACUGGGAAUAUCUAUAUCAAUUUU